rnacentral:tRNA from 2 species
GCCGAGGUGGCGGAAUUGGUAGACGCGCCGGACUCAAAAUCCGGUGGUGGCAACACCGUGAGGGUUCGAGUCCCUCCCUCGGUA